CCACUUGAUCCAUAAGGACUGCGUGUCGUGUGCAUGUGCUUGGCACGUACUGGGCGCUCGGGAAACAGCCGCUUAGCCAAGGAAAAAGUUUGACCUUUAAAAAAAAGGCACCGGUUCCACCUAGCAUCUUGGCGACUUCCUGUUUGGAGGGAGUUUGGUGCCAACUGCGCCUGCACUGUACCGAGAGGAAAUCUGUCUUGCAGCGAAGGAGGGGGGCGUCCACCCCCGCCCGCAUGACCCCACUCCGAACUUUUGCGCACGUGGUACGUGUGAAAGAUGUGUUUGCCAGAAAUAUGAUUACUUCUUGGUUCCUGUUGUACACCGGGACAGGUUCGAGAUGGUUCACCCGAUGUCUGCUAAAAACGUGUGGCGUCUGGAGAGGUGGGAGCUCCGGAGCUGGAGAAGGAAGGAGAAUAAGAGAACCCUCCUGGAAACUUUGCUGGGUUACGCUUUGGAAAACGUGGCUUAUACUAAUGGCCCAACCUAUGUGCGUUUGUAGCAAGGUGAGAUAAACUAAUUAACUCAAUUCCAGUCAUUGAGAUAGUACUGGUGGCACGUUCAUUUUACUGUGUGCUGUAACUGGGUGGUAGUUAAGGACAUCAGCUUUGGAGUGAGAAAGCGUGUGCUCGAUUCCUG